CGUAGACCCGAAACCAGAUGAUCUAUCCAUGGCCAGGUUGAAGGUGUGGUAACACACACUGGAGGACCGAACCGACUAGUGUUGCAAAAUUAGCGGAUGAGCUGUGGAUAGGGGUGAAAGGCUAAACAAAUCUGGAGAUAGCUGGUUCUCCCCGAAAACUAUUGAGGUAGUGCCUCGUGUAUGACUCCAGGGGGUAGAGCACUGUUAUGGCUAGGGGGACAUGGCGUCUUACCAAACCAUGGCAAACUCCGAAUACUUGGAAGUUUGAGCACGGGAGACAGAGCACCGGGUGCUAACGUCCGGACUCAAGAGGGAAACAACCCAGACCGCCGGCUAAGGUCCCUAAUAUUGACUAAGUGGAAAACGAAGUGGAAAGGCUAAGACAGUCAGGAAGUUGGCUUAGAAGCAGCCAUCCUUCAAAGAAAGCGUAAUAGCUCACUGAUCGAGUCUUUCUGCGCGGAAGAUGUAACGGGGCUAAGUCAAUAACCGAAGCCGCGGAUUCACACUUAUGUGUGAGUGGUAGGGGAGCGUUCUGUAAGCCUGCGAAGGUGACUCGUAAGGGUUGCUGGAGGUAUCAGAAGUGCGAAUGCUGACAUGAGUAACGUUAAAGCGGGUGAAAAGCCCGCUCGCCGUAAGCCCAAGGUUUCCUGCUCUACGUUCAUCGGAGCAGGGUGAGUCGGCCCCUAAGGUGAGGCUGAGAAGCGUAACUGAUGGGAACAAGGUUAAUAUUCCUUGACCACCGCUGAAUGCGAAGGGGGGACGGAGUAUUGAAGAUCAUCCGGGUGUUGGAUAUCCCGGUUUGCGAGCGUAGGAGGCUGACAGGCAAAUCCGUCAGCGAAUCUCCGAGGCAAAGCAUCGAGCUCUCUUUUGAGCGAAGUGAUUGGAUGUGCUUCCAGGAAAAGCCUCUAAGCUCCAGUUCAGCGGGACCGUACCGCAAACCGACACUGGUGGGCGAGCUGAAUAUGCUCAGGCGCUUGAGAGAACUCAGGAGAAGGAACUCGGCAAAUUGACACCGUAACUUCGGGAUAAGGUGUGCCUUUGUAGCGUGGAGGGAGAAACACCCCGAGCGCGAAGAGGUCUCAGAUAAUCGGUGGCUGCGACUGUUUAUUAAAAACACAGCACUCUGCAAAGACGAAAGUCGACGUAUAGGGUGUGAUGCCUGCCCGGUGCUGGAAGAUUAAUUGAUGGGGUGCAAGCUCCUGAUCGAAGUCCCAGUAAACGGCGGCCGUAACUAUAACGGUCCUAAGGUAGCGAAAUUCCUUGUCGGGCAAGUUCCGACCUGCACGAAUGGCAUAACGAUGGCCACACUGUCUCCUCCUGAGACUCAGUGAAGUUGAAGUGUUUGUGAUGAUGCAAUCUCCCCGCGGCUAGACGGAAAGACCCCAUGAACCUUUACUGUAGCUUUGCAUUGGACUUUGAACCGAUCUGUGUAGGAUAGGCGGGAGCCUGUGAAACCACAACGCCAGUUGUGGCGGAGGCGUCCUUGAAAUACCGCCCUGAUUUGUUUGAGGUUCUAACCUGGGACAGUCAUCCUGUCCGGGGACCGUGCAUGGUAGGCAGUUUGACUGGGGCGGUCUCCUCCUAAAGGGUAACGGAGGAGUGCGAAGGUACGCUAGGUACGGUCGGAAAUCGUGCUGAUAGUGCAAUGGCAAAAGCGUGCUUGACUGCGAGACCCACAAGUCGAGCAGAUACGAAAGUAGGUCAUAGUGAUCCGGUGGCUCUGUAUGGAAGGGCCAUCGCUCAACGGAUAAAAGGUACUCUGGGGAUAACAGGCUGAUACCGCCCAAGAGUUCAUAUCGACGGCGGUGUUUGGCACCUCGAUGUCGGCUCAUCUCAUCCUGGGGCUGUAGCCGGUCCCAAGGGUAUGGCUGUUCGCCAUUUAAAGAGGUACGUGAGCUGGGUUUAAAACGUCGUGAGACAGUUUUGUCCCUAUCUGCCGUGGGCGCUGGAAGAUUGACGGGGGCUGCUCCUAGUACGAGAGGACCGGAGUGGACUCACCUCUGGUGUACCGGUUGUCACGCCAGUGGCAUCGCCGGGUAGCUAUGUGGGGAAGAGAUAACCGCUGAAAGCAUCUAAGCGGGAAACUUGCCUGAAGAUAAGUCUUCCUGGAGGCUAGACCUCCCUAAAGAGUCGUUCGAGACCAGGACGUUGAUAGGAUGGGUGUGUAAGUGCUGUGAGGCACUCAGCUAACCAUUACUAAUUGCUCGUGAAGCUUGAUCCU
rnacentral:rRNA from 1 species